rnacentral:lncRNA from 1 species
AUCCCUAGUUUCGUGUGUACUUUUCCAACCACAGCUGCAGAGCGUGUGAGUACGGGACAAAAAGGCUAACCAGGAAACACAUGUACCCUUGUACCAGUCACAGCCUGACGCGUGACAACACGGUUGUGAGAAAAAACACGAGACCUAGGUUGCCUGUUCUUACCCUUCUCACCUUCUCUCUCAUCUCCCUUUUCCUCUUCACUCUCCAUCGUCACCAAAAAUAUGUCUCCCUAUCCAAGCGAUUCGCCGAAGGAACCGCCCACGAUGGCGCCGAUCCACCGUGUGCACAAGACGGGUCUGCCUCGAGCUUCGCGCUGGUAGGUCGGUCUUGUGAUGGCUCCUCGCCGUCAGCGCAGGUGCGGGGUGGCGACGACUGCGGGUCUUAGGCGACACCGUCACAACCACUGCGUCCGCACCGUCCAGAAGUGACGCCUCCACCUUCCUCUACGCGCAGACGCCAAUUCGACCACCUUCCUCGCCGACACCCUCAGCCUCAAGGAGAACGAGGUGUGUGUCUCGCGUUCAUGAAAUCCAUCGUGCCUGGUGGGAUUGCAUUCAAGAUGUACUUCUCUGUCAAGAGAAAUGGCAUGGGAUAUGGUUUGUAUCUCGAUUCUUCUGUGUGCGUCUAAGUAGGUCGUGGUCAUCUGUACAGGCUAAAGAUUGGUGCCUUCUUCCAAUCUCCCCCUAUAUUAGUUCCCCACCCUCUUCGUCUUCCAUUUGUAUAUUGGAGACCUAUAUCUGAGAUAUCACCAGGUCUAUCUUUUCAUUGCAGACCUCAUUGAUUUUUUCUGUCAUCUGCCACCGUUGUAAUGGAAUUGCUGCUAUAGAUGCCGUUUGUGACCUGACUCUCGACUAGGCCUCCGUGGAUACAUGUUUGUUUUGCUACCGACAACUACUUUUGUAUCGUGUUCACCUACUUGUUGGGUGUUGUUUUU